AGCAACCACACCCUCAUUUGCAAUUGUUGUCCCUGUUUUCAGUUUGCCUUUAAGAUUCGCUUCUCCUCGAGAUUAUUCCCGAAGAAUAAUUAACUUCGUUCGGACGAUUCUUUCGCGAAGGGAUUUUUUUUCUUACAGCCUUGGGGAUCUUGGUCGUCGUGCUCUUGAAACGAAUUUUUUGGGGGCAAAUUGAAAGAUCCUUUUUUCGGGAGGGUUUGAUAAAUUUGGAAAGAAUAUUCGAUAAAUGUGAUAUUUUAAUAUUUUGUUAUUAUUGAAAAGAAUUUUAUUUGAUGAAUAUUUUAGUGAUACUACGUAUAAUAAACAAUUAAUUAAUUAAUUUAUGUGUUUUUAUGUAGGAAAUAAGAUUAGAAUUCAUUGUAUCUAAAUAAUUCGAUUUAAAUCGAAUUUGACUACUUCUUUCCUAUUUGAUAAAUAAUUCUUCUAAGCCUUACUAAACAAAGUGUGGUGAAUUUGAAUGAACGAACUUCAAAUAUGAUGGAUAAAAGAUCACGGAAUAUUUACUAAUUAGUUAUAAUUACGUGAAUAAUUCAUCAUAUUUUAUUAAAAGAAAUACGUAACUUUAAACUGAGGGUCACCCCUUGAAUCUCGUCCUAAUUAGCUGUAAUUAGGCGCGAACGGGAAUGGGUUGCAACUUUAUAGAAGUCGAGGGGAAGAAAGUCGAGCUGAUCAUUAUGAGGUCUGAAUUACGCGCGAUAAUUUCACAGACAAUCGAAGAGGAAAUGGCCGAGAGGAUACUUCGCGAGAAUUAAUCAGCGACUAAUUGAUUCUGUAGAGAUUAAGGUCAUCGUCUUGAAAUGGCGACCCGAAAAACUUUUAGCUAAUUAAAAUUAAUUGGCUCCGUGUUGCUGAAAUCUUUCAGGGUGAUAUUUUUGUUCCGCGAGUAAAUAAAUGAAAAUUAAAAGAUUCAUUUACAUUUUCAUAUAUUUUACCGCUAAUUGUAAUAAAAAGUAAAAAAGAUA